UGCAGGCAGAUUCUUUAUCAGCCGAGCUACCAAUGGAAGCCCCAGUGGGGAAGAGAAUGACCAGUUAUUAGCAGAGCAUUUAGACAUACUGGAGAACUCAAAAAUCUAGUCCAAACCUGAUGCUUUACCUAUGAAUGGAAUUUGACCCAGAGAAGCCAAGGAUGAGUUCCUGAUCAACCCCAGCCUUAUAGGAUUUUGUUAAAAGAAGAAGGAGUGUGACUGGCCUGGUGUGGGCAAUAUAACCAUCACUCAGAGGAAGAGGAGGCACUUUGAGAGGACUCUCCAAAAGCAAAUUGGAAUGCCAACCUAGCCUAAACACGCAUCAGGGUCUUUUCAAAC